UCUGUCUGCGGACCGCAAGAGAGGGGCGUGCCGUUAAGGGGCGUAACUUUUAGCAGGGGGCGUAACUUAAAGUUGUCCAAGUUACACAGAACCACGCGAGACGUCAGGACGAGAUGUUGUCAUUCUGUCUUCUCUUCUGCCCGCAUAGAGAUACGGUGGCUAAAGGCGUUAUUAAAGUUGCUCAUCCAAGCGCCUUCAUGUUUGUUCGUACCAAUUUUAAUGGACGGGAAGCCGACUGACGAACAUCCUUUUCCCGAGAAAUGGUUCGGCUACGACACAUGUUAAGAAGUCACGCCAGGGGCUGAAUUAAGGUCGACCGUUUCAGGUAAGCUCGCUAACGUUAGCUAACUUAUGUGUUGUUAGCCUAAUGUUAGCUUUGUGAAGUCCGUUCUAUGAUUACACUUAUGAUCAGUAACGAGUAGUAUAAAUGUCAUACAUAUUAUUUCUGUUAUUUAACAUGUUUGUUUAAUUUGUUAAGUCUUUUCAUUAAUAAUGAGUGCUGACGUUAACGAGGAACUAACGAGUUUGCGUUGCACACGGACAUUUUUUCAGGUGCAACAGGAAAGGUUUACGUUCUGCAAAGGAUUAAAGAAGAUGUGUUUCAUUUUUGUGUUUUGAACGGGUAUUUCAAGGGAACUCAUUCCCUCUUGGUUAUAUGCAGCCAGCGAGGUAUGUGUAUAUUACGUUUGAAUUGGCCAAGUGUAUUUGUACUUACGUUUUAUAGCAUAUGUGAACGUGUUUGUCUUUUACAUUGUCAUACUGUAGUUUGACGGUUUUCAUUGCCGGUUAAUGUGAUGACGGAGAAAUGGAUGACAAGGCAAUAAAUCCAUCAGUAAUCAGAACAACGGUGUCGUUUAUUUCCUGGAGGGAGUGAUAAGUAGUUAACAAAAUGCAACAAAUCUCGCAUGAGUUUCAUUGCUCACCUAUAUAUUUUCCUGUUUACGAUAGUAACAUUAGAUAUUAGUACAUUAGAAUCUUACAGUUAUUCCUGUAAGUUGUCAACAUUUCAAAUGACAGUUAAUUAAUUAAUGACCUAUUAAACGUCAUAAUAACACUGGAGUUAAAGGAUGUGUGUACUACUGUCUCGUUUUUAAUGUAUCUCUCUCAAACCCUAUUCUGUUUAGUAUGGGUGCCAUUGUAUAUUCUCAUAAUGUAAGCUUAUUUUAAGUACAAAUGUAAAAUAUGUUUGUUUAUGGUUAUUAUUUUCACAGCUGCAUUGAUGUGGUGAUGCAGUGGACAACUUGUGAGGGUGAUACCAUCCACAUGCACCUUAACUGUGAUGCAGAAAUACAAUAGGAUGAUCCAUCUGUCUACACUUCAAAAUCACAACUCAACCUUAAACAACCCAUAUCGGUUAUGGUAAAACAAUGUGGCGGUUUUCCAGACAGGGCUUAUACUGUUCCCGGGCUAAAAUGCAUGUUUGAGCUACUGUAAUUAAGAAAACACCUUGUACUGACACAUCUCAACAUAUAUCAUUGCCAUUGUUUUGUUUCAAGAUGCACACCAGUCUUGUUUUGUAAGGUUUGUUUGUAAAAACUAAAAUGUCCUAAUAUAAGUGCCCAGUCCUGGUUUAAUCUAAACCAUUGGUGACCAAACCUGUGUCUUGAGAUCUACUGUGCUGCAGAGUUCAGCUCCAACCCCAAUCAAACACACCUGAACCUGGCAAUCAAGCAUUUCAGGGCAACCUUAAAAUUAUAGUCAGGUAUGUUUGUUAAAGCUGGGUUAAAAUAUGCAGGAGGGUAGAUCUCCAGGAACAGGGUUGGUCACCCCUGAUCUAAACAAAGGGUUUCCAAACUGUGUCCUGCAAAGUUUAGCUCUAACCCUAAUCAAACACACCUGAAGCAGCCAAUUAAGGUCUUACUAAGCAUACUAGAAACUUACUGGCAGGUGCUCUGAUGCAAGUUAGAGCUAAACUCUGCAGGACACCGGCCCUCCAGGACUGAGUUUGAGCACCCCUGACUAAGCCCUGCCUGGGAAACUGCACCAAUGUGUUGAGCUGGAACCAUUGGACAUUACUGCUGCUGAGAAACAACCACAUUUGUCAGCUCUACACAGGGUUGACAUUGGAUGCAUUAUUAUUAUAAAAUGCAUUCAUGUGCACUUUACCAAUACUGUACAUACAUCAACAGCUUCCAGCUAUACACUUGGGAUCAGCUCCUGAUGACUCUCAUAAUGCCGUGUUAUAAUUUAUUGCAGGGUGAUCUUGCUGAAAGGAUUUUUUUAUAAACGUUUACAAUGUCACCAGAUGUUACCUGUUGUGAAUAGUUAUUUUUAUAAACCUUUACAAUGUCACCAGAUGUUACCUGUUGUGAAUAGUUAUUUUUAUAAACCUUUACAAUGUCACCAGAUGUUACCUGUUGUGAAUAGUUAUUUUUAUAAACCUUUACAAUGUCACCAGAUGUUACCUGUUGUGAAUAGUUAUUUUUAUAAACCUUUACAAUGUCACCAGAUGUUACCUGUUGUGAAUAGUUAUUUUUAUACACCUUUACAAUGUUACCUGUUGUGAAUAAUUAUUUUAUAAACCUUUACAAUGUCACCAGUUGUUACAUGUUGUGAAUAGUUAUUUUUAUAAACCUUUACAAUGUCACCAGAUGUUACAUGUUGUGUAUAGUUAUUUUUAUAAACCUUUACAAUGUCACCAGAUGUUACCUGUUGUGAAUAGUUAUUUUUAUAAACAUUUACAAUGUCACCAGA